AUUAUUUAGGUAAUUAGCUUCUGUUUCACUCCUCUUCUUCCCAUAAAAAUCCUCUGAUAGCGCCUUGGCUCUGAUGGAAAACAGGAUGCUGCUGCUCUGUGGGCCCUUGCUGUGACCAUGCUGAAAGGUGGUGUCUGAGAGUUUAGAAAAGAGGCAGAAAGAGGAUGGAGGUCCAAGGCCACUCUUGCUGUCGAAACCAAGGUGCCUGAAGGU
rnacentral:lncRNA from 1 species